AGAGCGAACGCUGGCGGCAGGCCUAAUACAUGCAAGUCGAACGGAUCCUUCGGGAUUAGUGGCGGACGGGUGAGUAACACGUGGGAACGUGCCCUUUGGUUCGGAACAACUCAGGGAAACUUGAGCUAAUACCGAAUGUGCCCUUCGGGGGAAAGAUUUAUCGCCAUUGGAGCGGCCCGCGUCUGAUUAGCUAGUUGGUGGGGUAAAGGCCCACCAAGGCGACGAUCAGUAGCUGGUCUGAGAGGAUGAUCAGCCACACUGGGACUGAGACACGGCCCAGACUCCUACGGGAGGCAGCAGUAGGGAAUCUUGCGCAAUGGGCGAAAGCCUGACGCAGCCAUGCCGCGUGAAUGAUGAAGGUCUUAGGAUUGUAAAAUUCUUUCAGCGGGGACGAUAAUGACGGUACCCGCAGAAGAACGCCCGGCUAACUCGCGCCAGCAGCCGC
rnacentral:rRNA from 1 species